UGUAGUCCCAGCUACUCGGGAGGCUGAGGCAGGAGAAUCGCUUGAACCUGGGAGGCGGAGGUUGCAGUGAGCCGAGAUUGCACGAUUGUACUCCAGCCUGGGUAGUAAGAGCGAAACUCCAUCUCAGAAAAACAAAAAACAAAAACAAAAAAGCAAAACAACCCUUGGCUCCUCAAGCAUGUGAGCUCAGGCAGGGCCAGCCCAGCCUUAACUGUGGAGGCUGGUGGGACAGUCCCAUGGGGAAGCCCACUGCUGCGCCGCUUGGAGGAGGAAACCCAGCAUGUGAGGCUGCUCAUUGUCACGUGGUUUGCUGUGCUCUGCAGAAGGAGAUUCUGUGUUCACACCCAGGAUGUCAUGGAAGAGGAGCUCAUCCCAUUCAUCUCCCUGGCACAGGGUAGACACUUGGGGGAUGCUGCAUUAAGUGAAGUGAACCUGACUCUGUUUCUUUAGCCCCAGCCCACCCGAGUCUCAAUCUUCCCAUCUGUCAAGAGAAAUAAUAAGAUUAUUUGCCUCUAAACAGGUGGCUGAGAUCAUAGAUAGUGCAAAUGAUGUCACUGUUGGACUCUCCGGUGUUAUAUAAAUUUAAGACAUGAACAAUAAAGAAACUACCGAUAUUUACUGCUCAGACAUGCCCACGUUAAGAUUUUAAUGGCUAAAAGGCAGUUGUUUUUCCAUCUGACAUUAUGUUAUUCAACAGAGUAAGUAGUCUAAGUUGGAGGAAUCCCCUUGGGAAUUGACUACAAAGAGCAAAUAAAAAAGAGUAACAGAUCCAAGACCCUUACCCCUUAAAUUUAUUUUCACUUCCUAAAUUGAACUUCAUGCAAAAUAGGUUAUUUAUCACUAGGGUAAAAUAAGAUAAUGGGGAGGUUUAAUUAGCCAAAGCCCUGUGAUAACGCGUUUCUUCCUUACCAAAUACCCAAUGAGAAUGCAUAUCAUUAAUUCUGUGGUUAGCUAAUAAGAAAAUGAAAAAAGCUCCCUUAAUUUUUCCUUGAAAAAAUUUUUAAACUAACACAAAGAUGCCAAUGAAUGAGUAUUUUGCUUACAUCCAUUCACUCCAUCCAACUCUCAUUCAAAUGCUCAUUGUGCACCUGCUAAGGUCAGGUGCGUGCUUUCUGCCAAGCAUUCCAAGAGGAACGUCACAUAGUCUUUGCCCUCAGGAAGCGUACGGUCUGGUUGGGAAAGAGAUGCUUCCAACAAUAAUUCUGAUACCUGUGUGAUAUGGUUUGGCUGUGUCCCCACCCAAAUCUCAUCCUGAAUCCUACUCCCAUAAUUCCCACGUGUUGUGGGAUGGAACUGGUGAGAGAUAAUUGAAUCACGAGCGCGGUUUCUCCCAUACUGUUCUUGUGCUAGUGAAUAAAUCUCACGAGAUCUGAUGGUUUUAUAAACGAGAAGCCCUUUUCGCUUGACCCUCAUUAUAGCUCAUGCCGCAGCCAGGUAAGAAGUGCCUUUCGCCUUCCGCCUUCCGCCAUGACUGUUAGGCCUCCCUAGCCACGUGGAACUUUAAGUCCAUUAAACGUCUUUCUUUUAUAAAUUGCCCAGUCUUGGGUAUGUCUUUAUCAGCAGCGCGAAAACAGAUUACUAACACACUGUGGUAAAGGUGAAAUCAGUGCUCACUCCUUCGGGUGAAUUCCGUCACAUAAUCUCCACUGGGGAAGGGGUGGGCAUGGGCAGCUCCUGGGAGCUGAUGUCUUAGGGGCCCUAACACAAAAGUUCAUGCAGUUCAGCAUCCCUUCCCCUCCCAUGCCCCACAGGGCACAAACGCAUUGUUGUCCAUCACCAAAACACAUUACCCUUAGUACUCGACUCUAAUGAAGUUCCAGUUCCUCAGUUGUAUAACGAGGCUUCCAAGCUCCUAUUUUAAAAGAAAGUUUCUUGAAGCUAAAUAAAAGCACUGCUAACAUGAAAUUAACAGUGGAAAUUUUUGAGUGUAAUUUCAGGGUGAAAAAAACUGAAAAGACAAAUGUAGAUUUUAGAUAUUUCAAGGAAGGAGAGAGAGUAGUGUUGCUGGUACCAUGCCUCUGCACUUGCUAUAGCUGAGUUUCAUUUGAGUAUCCAUUAUUUGGAAGGAGUUCUUAAAUCUAAGCCUGUGGAAGACAAUAAAUUCACAUUAAUUAUCUCUCCAUUUGACUCAAUUUCUGAAGAAGUUCUAUCCUUCUGAUGAACUAUCAGAUUAAAUCCCAGAUUCCUCAGUAUGAUGUCCCUGAAUACCAAUAUAAAGAAUAAAGGAAGAGAUCAAAACCUGGAUGAAUAAUCUGUAUAAACAUGGGCAUAUACACAAGGUAUGACUAUAAUAUUGAGACUCAUCCUAUAAAGCACCUACAAAAGUUGAUUGUAUUAUUUUAUACUUAUGCUUGUGCACAUAAAAAAUAUUUGGCAGGCUAAAGGCCAAAGAACCAGGCACUGUUCUCAAAAGGACAUAGCAGAUUAACUACACCUCUAUUUGUCCUUCUAUACUCAAGGCUACUUACUGUAGUUGGGUUGACCAGGCAGAGUUUAAAUCAAUAUAUGUUGGUUGAGCCUGGAUCUUAGAUGAGAAAUUCACACUAACGUGAAAUUCACACAGACAUAUGUGGAAACACUAAAAACAUUUUCUUUUACUUCAUCCACCAGUGACUUUAAUGAAAGCAGAGCAUAAUAAUUAAUACAAGUAAUUAGAGUUGACAACUGAAGUGUCAAGAAAACCACAGUUCAUCUGUUAUCCGUCCAUCUCUGUUGAAAUAUUAGUUUACUGCCAUAUAUUAAUCUAUUUAUAAAGAGAUCCAGACAAUUAGAAAAAUUAGUCUGGAAUCACCAGGCUGAAGGCUUAGCUGAAGUUAAAAGACAAGUAAAAAUGCCUCCAAACUGUAAAACCUGAGUUGGGGAAUAAAUGGUAAAAUGUGUAAAAAUUUAGAAAAAGGUUAUAUGUGGACUGUAAAAAAUACACUGGACUCACAGGUAAUUAAGGGGUGAAUCAGAGUUGUUUCCUAAAUGGCAUAAGCCAAACUCUUAGAUAUUUCUACCAUUAGCUAAAAGGCAGAGAAGCACUCUCUCUCUCUAUUAAUGCACUUUUAAAAAUGAAAAUUGUGAAGUGUUCUGCCCUUAAAGUGGACCUUUAUUUCAGGUCUGCAUUACUUUGCUUAAUAGAUAUGGUCCUAAAGAUUAAGGUGGUGAUCCAUUUUAUCUUGUAAAAAUGCAUAAUUUAAUCUGAGUUAUAGGAAUUUAAAGCUGCCCUACUUUGAAGGCCUUUGUGACUCAAAGAUUUUUUUAAUUUAAUUUUUAAAUUGAGAAUUACCUGGCUUGGGCUUUUGGUCUUUUUAUAAUACGUAUUGCUGUCUACUUUUUUUUUUAUUCUUGGCUGCCUCAAGCUAUUCUUGCCUCCAAAAGGUGUCAGCAUAUGAAUAAAAACAGCAGAAAAUAAUUACCCUAAUUAGGUCAAUGUAUUAAGCUGUUUCUACAACUGUUUCUCUUAAACACCUUAUCUUUGUAGUCUUGGCUCAUUAGAAAUUCGACUAGUGGUAAGUAUUUAUUUUUUUCCUUCAAGGGGGUUUUUGCUUUGCUAAGCCUCGGGCAUUUGGUUCGUGCAAGAAAUCACAGAAACUGCUCCAGCGGACUCCGAAAGGAGCGGAAAAUUCUUUUGUUUGGGGGCCAUGAGGGGUGGGGGAGGGGUGGGGAUUCUGGUGUAAGCUUUUGGCUUGCAUUCGCUUUCUCCCUCCGAAAGUGGGCGACAUCAAGCAAGUCCCAGUUACAGAAAGAACCCACUGCAGGGCGUCCAGUCACUUGCCCAGUGAAAAGACUGUAAUCAGACAACUUUAAUAAAGGGAGAGCAGGAGAGUGGUGACGAAUUUCCACAUUCCGAACAAGCUUGUCGAAAGAGGAGUGCAGGGAAGGAGCAAGAAUGAGGCACUGGAAGACGGUGAGCGGGGCCUUGCCACAGAAUCCCGGGCCCACCUGCUUUCUCACAGUCGCGACAGCCGGCCCGGAGAAGGGCAGCCCAGCGAAGGGCACGCCCCGCGCGGGUGCCAGGGAGGCCGGCAGGGGCGUCCGCGGUCGCUGCUCACCUGCGCUCCCCGCUGCCCGGCCCAGCCCGCCUCGCCACCGAGUCUGGAAGCCCACACUCACCCCUUUACCCGGGAAACGCGGCCGGAGCCGGCGGCGGGUCGGGAGUCCGAGAUGGUAGAUCCCCCUCCAGGCGCCUCGCUGACAUUUUGUCCCGGACGGAAAACCUCCGCGCGUGCCCCUUAAAGACACAGCGCUGCAUUCACACGUCUGCGGGGAAAGGGGGGCCGUCACGUGUGGCCUUCGCCCGAAAGCGGUAGGGGAGUCGCUCUGAAACCGCCAAGGAUCGCGAGCGACAGAUUUGUGUUGGCCAGGGUUUUAAGAUGACGCAAUAGCUGAGUGUGGUUGAAAUGUAACUAUUGUUUUACAACUUUGCAUUAACCUUCCAAGACCUGAAUUCCCGGGCCUGAGUCUCAGAGCGCGGUUUGCAUCUUUGCAGGCUGUAGGCGCAUGAUGUCACAAGUUAUUGGAAGAAAUCCCUCCAACCUAGGUUGGGACAGAUGAAGGCGGCGCUUAUUGGUGUUCACCAAAACACCAGCAUGGUGUACCAGCUUUGGCUAGAUGAUGCUCAGGAAAACACAGAUCCUGGUGCCGAACAUGAGGACAGGGCAGGCCGAAGGAGAAAGUGGAAGGAGGGGAGCUUCUCUCUCAGCCUCAUCCUUCUGGGCCUGGAUGCUGGAGAGUCAUGAGGUGCUUCAGAGUACUCUGGGUGAGGAGGGAAAGAUGGUGCCCACCACAUGGAGGCCAGCCUAGGUCUUGUAUGAAACCUGUGAGCUAGCUGAAAGCAGAGAACCCAGCAGAGGAUUCUGGGAAGGUCCUGGGGGAUGGCAGAGCCAGCAGAGAGAGGGUAUGGAUCCACCAGGCAUAGGAUGGAACAGAGCACUAUUGACCACAGUGAACUGGGGCAUGGGCAAUCAAUAAACACAUAUUAGAUUAAGCUAUUGAGACUCAGGGAUUUUUAUACAACUGACAUUCCCUAAGAAGCCAUGAUCUUCCUGUCUCAGGAGGUGCAUAAGCAGUGGUUGAAUGUUCAACAGUCAAGAAUGUUAUAAAAAGAGGUUCUUGGGAGAGUGGACCUGAUGGCCAGCAAAAAUCAUAGCUCACAUUUAUUGAGUUAUUAUGGCUCAGGCAUGUGCACAUAUUCUUUUAUUUAAAUCUACAAUAUGCUUUAUCAUGCUCAUUUUAUACAUGAGGAACACAAGGCAUGGAGAGGUUAGAUAACAUGCCUAAGAUCAUGAAGCAAGCAAGGGGGAGAAAAGAUACCCUUCUCACUCCUUCCAGACAGCUCACUUCACCACCACUCCCCACUGUCUCUAAAGCAAAAGUUAUUUGAAGGCUUAGGGACUGGUUUGGUAUUAUCCAUGCAGGGCGGUUUGUUUUGUUUUUCUUUUAAAAUUUCAGCCUAUGCUUAAAAGAUUUCAUGUAAAAAUUCUGUUUUCUAGUUUCUCUUGAAAAUUAAGAAGAUCUGGUAAAACUGGGCUUGAAGACCAUUAUGGUAACAGGCUGCUGAAGCUGAGGAGAGGGCCCCUUCAGAUGGGCAUAAGCACUGCUCCCCCUCCCCAACCCCCCUUUUAGGUUACUAUCAGACUCUGGAAGCUUCUGAAUGUGUGAACCCUGAAAGAGUCCAUCUAAAGCUAAGUUCUCCCCAGGGGUAGAGCCCAAUGCUGGGCAUACAGUAGGG
rnacentral:lncRNA from 10 species